AUCUUGCGCAAUGGGCGAAAGCCUGACGCAGCAACGCCGCGUGUGUGAUGAAGGUCUUCGGAUCGUAAAGCACUGUCGCGAGGGACGAAUAAGCCUUUGGCUAACAUCAAGGGGCGAUGACGGUACCUCGAGAGGAAGCACCGGCUAACUCUGUGCCAGCAGCCGCGGUAAUACAGAGGGUGCGAGCGUUGUUCGGAAUUAUUGGGCGUAAAGCGCGUGUAGGCGGCUUGGCUAGUCGGAUGUGAAAGCCCUCGGCUUAACCGAGGAAGUGCGUUCGAAACUGCCUGGCUUGAGUACCGGAGAGGGUGGCGGAAUUCCCGGUGUAGAGGUGAAAUUCGUAGAUAUCGGGAGGAACACCAGCGGCGAAGGCGGCCACCUGGACGGAUACUGACGCUGAGACGCGAAAGCGUGGGGAGCAAAC
rnacentral:rRNA from 1 species